ncrna:unclassified sequences Glutamine riboswitch
UACGUUCAUCAUGUUUUACAUGACGGAAGUAGGCAAAAGCCGAAGGAACGCAUG